CUAACGCGUUAAGUAUCCCGCCUGGGGAGUAUGUUCGCAAGAAUGAAACUCAAAGGAAUUGACGGGGGCCUGCACAAGCGGUGGAGCAUGUGGUUUAAUUCGAUGCAAAGCGAAGAACCUUACCAGGGCUUGACAUGCCGUGAAUCCUCUUGAAAGAGAGGGGUGCCCUCGGGAACACGGACACAGGUGGUGCAU
rnacentral:rRNA from 1 species